rnacentral:hammerhead_ribozyme from 1 species
CACUGGCUGACGAGUUUCAAAUAGGACGAAAUACGCAUCUUGGUG